GGAAAUGUGUCAAAAGGUUAAGCAAACAACAGUCCUUUUAAGUAAAAGAUGUAAAAAGAUCAAAAGAAUACAAUUUGAAACCUGUCAUUUUGGGCGUUUUGAGCUUCCGUAGCCUCAGAGUCCCCUCCCACUCUACAGGCUGGAAACAUGCUGCUGUUCCUGGCAGAACAAAGAGAAGCAGCCUGGAUCUGUGCUGUGGGGCGCCUUCACAGUCUGCUGCAGCUAAUUGGCUCCUCUGAGAGCCACCUCGUCCACUAACGCAGAGCCCUGCAUGGAGACACAGCAGCAGCACAGGACCUCCCAGCCAUCUGCUGGGGCCUCCUGCACCUCCACCAGCUCUGCGCUCCACAGUGGAGGUGCCGCCGGCCCGGCCGGGUGUUUGAUCAACCAGACGUUUCCUGUCACAGCUGCUUUGAAAAGCUCCUUUCAUGACUCACUCCUGACUUUAAGACACUUCUCUGGUGGUUUCCAGAAGAAUGGAGUUCAUUUCACAGAGAGAUCUCUGUUUCAUUUGUGCUUCAUGGUACAAUGUACUGUAACCCCAGUAAUCUGAGUACUUCAGUAUUCUGAAUUAAAGUGUGAUGCUGGCAGUCUCCAUCAGAGUACACUUCUGUGAAGCACUGCUGACAUCUAGUGGUGGGGAAGGGAAACUGCAGCUCCUGAUUUGGAUUUUCUUUCAACUUUCAAAGAAAAUGUAUGAGGUUUUUCUUUAAGUUUUUUUUUUUUAUUUGUUUGUUUGUUUAUAAAUUAUUUGUUUAUGUAUUGGUGGGAUAAUAUUUGUCAAAGCAAUAAUCCAUGAGACUCUAAAAUAAUCCACCACAAAAACGUGUUUUUUAACAGCUGUUUAAGUAGUUAAGGGGAAGAUUUUAAAUUAUUUCAGGUGUUUUUCACUUCCUUAAAAGAAGGAAAUAAUAUCCCACAAUUACAUAGUAUUUUAGUCACAUCACGAACAUAAUGAUCCCCUGAUCCAGUUUGUGUUCACACAUGUAUUAAUCAUUACAAUGCUGAAAUAGUUUCAGGGGUAAACUGUCUGAGGAACAUCCAGAAUUCUAACCUCUGACCUUUGAGGACAGAAAAGAAAAACUAAAGUUAAAGAGAUUUGUAACCAGUAAGAAACGGUGAGGGGGGGGGCUCUGAGAUUGUAAUUCUCUCCACUAAGGAGAUCUAGUCGCAAACAAACAUGCGGCCAAACUACAUUAUUCUCCGUAAACAAAACAACAAAAAUAAUAAGUAAAUAAUAUAACUGAGGCUCCGGCACCCCCGCGACCCCGAAGAGGGACAACGCGGUUAAGAAGAUGGAUGGAUAAUAUAACUGGAUAUAUUUUUUCUUUGUUCCUUUACAGAAUAUUUUACAGCAGAUUUCAGUUCAGCCACACAGAACUGAAGAAGCUUCUUCACUAAAACAAAGUCUACAAACACAGAGCAGAACUUCGACACAUUUAAAUUCAGAAAGUUAUUUGAUUUUUAAUUAUAAUCAUAUUUGUAUAUUUUUAAUCAAAAACGUUUUUCUGUUGGUUAAUUUCUUUGACAACAGAUUGAGUUCAAUCCCUUUCUUUGCUUUAUGAAAAUCAAGUUAACACACGGCUCUUAGAAAUCUGACUACAGUAACAGAAACCUAGCAGUCUGGAGUCAAUCUGGUUUUCUCUGCAGAAAAACACAAUUCUGAACUUUUGCUGCAGAUCAUGGAACACCAUGUUUCUGGUUCAAAUAGGAAAAACCAAAACUUCAGAACAGAAACUCAAUGCAGAGAGCUGCUUCCACCAGUAGAGGGUGAGGAUAAACCUCUGACCGUCCAUCAUGUCCAUCAUGACCACCCGCUCAAGCAUCCAAGAGGUCCAACUGCAGGUGAUAUGGUGGCAGUGAUGGACCUGAUGGACCUGAUGGACCUGAUGGACCUGAUGGACCUGAUGUGUCUGGGAGAAGCUGCUGUGGUCAGUUCAAACAAACUGAGCUCUUUGGCAUCAACUCAACCUGUUGCAUCUGGAGGAAGAGAAAUGACCUCAAGAACAACAUCCCUACUGUCAAGCAUGGAGGUGGAAGCAUUACGGAGGCUUUGAAUGGGUCGUGGUUGGGUCUUCCACCGAGAUCAUGACCCAAAACAUCCGGCCAAGGAGACUGAAAACUGACUGAAGACAAAGUCAUGGAGUGGUCCAGCCAGUCUCCAGACCUCAGUCCUUAAGAACACCUGUGGAGUCAGCCGAUGCUCAGAGUUGCUAAGCAACAACCACAAAAUCUGAAUAAUUUAAGAGUCAUUUGCAAAGAAGAUUGGACCAGAAUUCCUCCUGAUAUGUGCAGGAACCUGAUCGUCAACAUCUGACCUCUGUGCUUGGUGAUUACAGCUUUGCUACUACGUUUGAAGACUUUCUGGCAAAACGUAUUGCUCUAAAUGAAAUGCAAAUAAAUUCUUUU